GACGAAGGGGGCUAGCGUUGUUCGGAAUUACUGGGCGUAAAGCGCGUGUAGGCGGUUUCCCAAGUCGGGGGUGAAAGCCUUGAGCUCAACUCAAGAAAUGCACUCGGUACUGGGUGACUAGAGGACCGGAGAGGAUAGUGGAAUUCCCAGUGUAGUGGUGAAAUACGUAGAGAUUGGGAAGAACACCAGUGGCGAAGGCGGCUAUCUGGACGGUUUCUGACGCUAAGACGCGAAAGCGUGGGGAGCAAACAGG
rnacentral:rRNA from 1 species